rnacentral:tRNA from 1 species
CCCUUGGUAGCUCAGUUGGAAGAGCGUGAGACUGUAAAUCUCAAGGUCACUGGUUCGAGACCUGUCCGAGGGA